CAGAAAGGCUCGGGCAAGCAGGACUUCGCUCCAGUGCAGCCCCGGGAAGUCGAAAUAAACAUUGAGGCGGUUUCUGUUAGCCUUUUCGGCUCAUUUUAGUGGGGAAAAAAAAAGUCGGGGGGACUGGAGGCUUGGAGCCGGCCAGCAGCGCCCAGAGCCAGCCUCCGCGGCAGGUGACGGACAGGUGGAGAGGCUGCGGUUCCAGGGUGCCGAGCGCCUGUCCUGCUGGCGGCCGGGAGCCGGACAGAUACCUCGGUGUGUCCUACCCGCAGAUAAGAAUCCGGCUCAGAGACCUUUCUGAAGGGGCUGCAACACCCCCGGGAAAUUGUCCCAGGAGUGUGACUCGGGAAGACGAGUACAUGAAGCAUCUUCUGCUUUACUGGAAGAGUCAGUGGCAACUAGGGCGUCUCUGACUUUCCUCGGUGUCCUUCAGGAAGCAGAAGAGGACAAGCAGAGAUGGAGGAAGAUGCUGGUCCCGCGGUUCAGGGGGAGGCCAGGCAAAGCCGCCUGUGCUGGCGCUGCCUCUGCAACACAGCGUCUCAUCCAAGCUUCGUUUCUCCCGCGGGAACUGGUGGCAGGGAUGAGGUAUCACCACCACCACGCACCACCACUGCACCCGAAGUAAAACGAACGACGCAGAGAGCCGGAGCCAGAACUUCUCCCAGUGAGGAUGCUUUCUAUUAGGCAGGAGUAGAAGGGCUUUCUCCCCCCCCCCAGGUUUUUUUUUAUGAUUGACUCAUAGGUUUAAAAAUCUGUGAAGUCACACCUUGGUCAAGGAGAAUACAAGAAAUCAUUUGCAAGCUUUUUUGAAUUUUAAAUAAGAUUUUUCAAAAUAGUUUACAUUAACACCUUAGAGACAAGAGUUCUAGAAAUAAAGUAAUAAAACUUAAAAAUUAUAUUUGCUCUUUUGAUGAUAGCAAGAGACAAGAGAACCCUCCAAGAAUAUUGUAUAUAGUAAAUUCAGUAUAACUGCAUCAUGAAAAGUCUGUAUGCCUAUAUAUUUGCUAGACACACAUUAUAUUUUUUACAUAUUUAUCUUAAGGGCUAUAUAAGUGAUGAAAAAACAAUUCAGCAAAAAUGUAAGAUGGCUCUACAUUGCCAAUAACUGACUGUAUCUCAUAGAUAAUUUUGGACAAAAUUAAAAAUAUGUUCCUAUCAUAAAAGGAACCCUUCUGUUACUCAUUAUUUGUACAUUUAUUUACAGGUCAUUUUUGGCUAAAUUAAAUUUAAUUAAGGGGAAAAGAAAAUAGUGAAGAAUACCCAAAAUGAUCAAGGCUUUGUGGGUAAGCUCAUUAAAAUGGUUUAUUAUCUGUAUUAAUUCCUUGGAAAAUGCCAUUCUUGUUAUUCAAGGCUUGUGCAUCAUUAAUAAGAAAAUGAUAGAAAUUUAAAUUAUUUCAUUGGACCGCCUAUUUUUUUUUAAGUUUCCAAGGAAAUAACUGAAAAUUUAGCAUGUAUGCUGCUGAAGAGCCAUCAACAUCCAAUUAGAAACUUAAGUAAUCUCACUUGGGGUGUGUAGGAUGGUGUAUUUAUUAAUAGGCAGGUUGCUUAUCUUAUUUCCGAGAUGACUCACGUUUGCUCUCAUUAAAUUUACCGAGAUAACUGUAAGGAGCAAACCGCCAGAUUUCAGAAUUUAGCCACGUCCUGCCAACUCCUCUCCUCUGGUACUUUCUUGGAAUCAUCUCAGAGUAAGAGAACAGAAAAUGGUAAACAAGCAGAGAAGCUCAGGCCGCGGCACCCGGGCUGACGGCGCGGGGAGUCUGUGUGGGCGAAGGUCCCGGGAGUCCGUUCCUCAGUUUGUUUAAUCUGUGUAUCGUGUGGCUUCGUUUUCUUCGUGUUAAAAAACUAGAGACAACACUCGCCCACACUCCCAUGUUCCUUUUUUCCUCCCUAAAGACUAUAAUGGGCAUACAUUUUCAAAUAUUCACAGACAAGAUAUUCUGGAUAAAUGAUCUAAGAUUAACAAAAUUAGAUCAAUGCUCAUUCAGGGCUGGUGCGAUAUGUCCCUCGUGUUGAAAUGAUCUGGUGUCAGCUAGUGAUUGAAAAAGCACUAUGGACCAAAAAAAAAGUAUUUAUUACAACACGUCUCAAAGCAGAUAAGCCGUGGAGCCCGCUCGUAAACGAGGGCCCUUAUCUAGAUUUUAAUAUGGCCGUAAGCAAAUUGUGAAGGUUUUUGCAAGUUAGGCAGCUUCUAGGGGAAAGCAGGCACUUCGAAAGUUUCUAGACUUCUAAGCCAGGCAUGAUGCUUUUCACACCUGUCUGUUGAUGGUACGGCCUUUGUUCUUUUCCUCAAGAUGCAGUCCGUAGAAAGGCCGAAACGGUAGCAGAUUCAGGGCACGUUGUCGGGAUGGUUUACCUCCCUCUGAGAUGGAGAGGGUCCUGGAGACUGAAGCCCUGGGAUCUUCGUGGGAGCCCCUUCCUGCCUCUUCCCUGCUUAGCCCCACACAUUCUUUCUUUCUUGCUGACAACUGCUGUUGGUACCGAUGAGAUCCCCGAGGCCAGGACCGAAAGGAGUUUCUCGGUAUCUUCAUACAGAAGCCACUUUUGCUGACAUCAGUACGUGCUGUUUGUUGCUCAGUCACAAAGUUGUGUCCGGCUCUGUGACCCCGUGGACUGUAGCACGCCAGGCUCCCCUGUCCUCCCUUACCUUCCAGAGUUUGUUCAAGUUCGUGUCCGUUGAGUUGGGGAUGCUAUCUAACCAUCUUAUCCUCUGCCGCCCACUUCUGCCCUCAGUCUUUCCCAGCAACAGGGCCUUUUCCAGUGAGUCAGUCCUUCGCAUCAGGUGGCCUAAGUAUUGGAGCUUCAGCUUUAGUAUCAGUCCUUCCAAUGAAUAUUCAGGGUUGAUUUCCUUUAGGAUGGACCGCUUUGACCUCCUUGCAGUCCAAGGGACUCUCAAGGGUCUUCUCCAACACCGCAGUUCAAAAGCAUCAAUUCUUUGGCACUCAGCCUUCUUUCUGGCCCAACUCUCACAUCUGUACAUGAUUACUGGAAAAACCAUACCUUUGACUGUACAGACCUUUGUUGGCAAAGUGAUGUCUCUGAGUUUUAACAUGCUGCUGCCCCAGUCAGCCUUUGAGCCACUUUUGGGAAGUGGAAGUUGCAUUUACCUGAUCCUCACUCUUUUAUCAAAGGCCAGUGGCUUGUCCUUUCAUUACCAUUAUAAUCUAUUAACACAAAAUAUAUUUAAUAACCUAUUAACACAAAUGUAUUCAAUACGAUAAAAUUUUGACAUAAUUAACAGAAUGGCUGUUGUUUUAAAAAUUUCAAAAAUUAGUCUAGUUAGACUAGUCUAACAACUAGAUGAUGCUAUCCCAUUCAAAACUGACUGUAUUUAGGACACCAUUCUGUGUGUCCAUAUGGUCUUUAUCUUCAGGUUUAAAUUGCAUUUGUAAUGCAAACACGCUGACUCAGGCAUACAAUAAACCAUCAUGAGAUAAAACCAAGGAGAAAGUCCAGCAGCCUAAACCCCCAAAUUCCCGACUGUGUCAUAAUAGGAAACUGAGAGCUUUUCCCAAGAGCAACAAGGUUCAUCAGAUCUAGAAAAACAGCUACCAAAAUGGGAAUAGAAACACAAAGUAAAUCAGAGUCUGAGGUCAGGAAUACAGACAUUCUCAAAACUUAAGAUAGUUAAUGUCACAGGAAAACAGGGACUGAAGACCACCCAGGUCUGCUCUUGGGUCUGAGGUGGCUGUUAGGACCCCCACCCCAGCAGCGUGCUCGGUCCAGAGGUGUCAGGAGGUUCCUGGGGCACUGUCUUCAGGGAGAAGCCGUGGGAGGGCCGUGGACAGCUCUCAGAGGAGGGGGACUUGCUCAGGACCCUGGAACAACAGCAGACCUGGCAGGGGAGCUGAGUGCAAGGCACCAUCCGGGGCAGGGGCGGGAGGAAGCGGAUGUGCAGGUGGCCUUGGAUAGAGCUUCCCUGAUUUGGUUGGAGGGAAGACUUGGCAGCUGAAGAGGGGUGAUGAGGCCAGUCCUGCCGAGCCCGGUGGCCUUGGAGGCAGAGAACAGGCAGAGACCUGAGUCUCUGAUUCUCUGCGCAAGGCAGACCCAGUGGCUGGGUCUGAGCAGGAGGAGACGUGAGGAGUGUGCACGUCUGUGUGUGUGGCUGUGGGUGGUUAGGGUUGCAGACAGCUUUGCUUGCUCCCAAGUCCAUGAGAAUCAAAGUGUCCUUGACAAGAAUCUGAGACGAGACAGCCAUGAGGGGCAGGGAGUGAAUGGACCAGGCAGUCGCCUGUCUGGGGGCAGCGCCGGGAGUGGAUGGCAGCCAGGAUUUAGAGGGGACACCAGGAGGCAAGGUCCCUCAUGUGACUCACAGCCAGGCUCUCAGGGCACCGGGGGCAUCAGCCUGAGGACAGCGGCCCACGGAGGAUGCCUGGGAGGACGGGGCAGCAAGGGGGCAGCUGAACGGGCGCAUCAGAGCCUGCGCGCCGAAGGCCAGCGGUCUGCACGUGCGCAAGGUCCCCUGGGCGAAGGUAGCUUCCCAGCAGCUUUUGGAGUAAAAAAACUGAUAAAAUAUAAAAUGUUUCUCCCAUUAUGAUGAGCUUUUAAUUACAAGUUGAAAAUAAAGAUGCAAACACAUUCCUGAUGCUU
rnacentral:lncRNA from 1 species